rnacentral:lncRNA from 1 species
GGGCCUUCUUGCUUUGAAUCUUUUUCUGCUUUGAAGACAGGCAGAAGUGAAUACCUGGCCUGAGCUUCUCCUGGGGCCCUUGUGGAAGCAACAUGAGAUGACUGAUGUGCAAACACAUUCAAGAGUGAAGCUCUCUGGGUAGAGAAGACAUUAUUAUUUCAUCCUGAAGUACUUUCGGAAGGACUGUCUACAAGAGAGAAGCUCCCCACGUGGUUCCGUAGACAGAGCCACACUCUGUUGGAUGUUGAUCCCAGCUCACCGCAGCCUUGAACUCCUGGGCUCAAGCGAUCCUUCCACCUCAGUCUCCCACGUAGCUGGGACUACAGCUUCAGAAGGGAGGAAAACACAGAAGACGAGGGCUGAAAGAUGGCAUUGGACUUGGCACAGGGAUGGUCAGGAGGUCCUGAGUCACUUUGAGAAGGUGCGGAGCAACGCUCUGCCCCCACGUUGGGAUGUGAGGUUGCCGACUCAGUGCAGAGCUGUUUGGCUUCUCCCGACUUUGGUUACCACUCACGACUAAUAAACCAUCUGCAAGAAGCCCCUGGAAGACCAUGCGGAAAUCCUGCAUCUUGUGACGUUUCCCCAGGACUUAGCCGUGGUUGGUUUCUGCCUUGACCCGUCUUUACUGUGAUGGCUUGAUGUUCUAAGGUGGUCUCUCACCAGCUCCUGGAGCCACUUCUGCACAUCUCU